UGAGCUGAUGUUGAGGUGGGAAUAGAUCUCCAGUGACUGAUGUUGAGGUGGGAAUAGAUCUCCAGUGGCUGAUGUUGAGGUGGGAAUAGAUCUCCAGUGGCUGAUGUUGAGGUGGGAAUAGAUCUCCAGUGGCUGAUGUUGAGGUGGGAAUAGAUCUCCAGUGGCUGAUGUUGAGGUGGGAAUAGAUCUCCAGUGACUGAUGUUGAGGUGGGAAUAGAUCUCCAGUGGCUGAUGUUGAGGUGGGAAUAGAUCUCCAGUGGCUGAUGUUGAGGUGGGAAUAGAUCUCCAGUGACUGAUGUUGAGGUGGGAAUAGAUCUCCAGUGGCUGAUGUUGAGGUGGGAAUAGAUCUCCAGUGGCUGAUGUUGAGGUGGGAAUAGAUCUCCAGUGGCUGAUGUUGAGGUGGGAAUAGAUCUCCAUGGCUGAUGUAUGACAAGGCGGAUGGAAACAAGAACAUGUGAGUCUAUACCACUCUCUUGAGGCUUUCAGUGCCAACAUUUAUUAAACAACAAAUACUGUUCCCAGAUCUAACAUCCAUACAUUGCCACACUGACUCCUUCAACAUGGCUGCUGUAAUACACGAGACGGUGAAGCAAGUUGUCCGGCUUAAACGUUUUAUUUCUUACAGAACAGUAAUAAGUAAAGUUGCUACAAAUUGUGUUAGAAUAAGGUAGAAAUGUGCUACACAGCAUUGCAUGUUUUAUUGCAAGUGUUGCCCUAUCCUGCAAGGACAUUCCUCUGACUAUUGUCACAACUACAGGUUUAGUAAUU
rnacentral:lncRNA from 1 species